AAUACUUCCAUGUACUUACUAUUAAUUGAAACUGUUCUUUAUUUUAAAAAGUAUUGUUUUUACUAUAAAUAUAGCUACGUUCUAUGCAUUGAACAGAGUGGUGAUCCUGAGUUGAAACUGAACAGUCCAGGACUUAUGAGAAUAUAUUACGCUGAUAAAGAAUGUAAGACUAUUGCUCUAUGUACAUCUAUAUCUGCAGGCAACAAGGUGACAAAUGGACAGGAAUUUAGCCUCCAAGAGUUCAAUAAGCUGGUAUUGUCCUGACAUCGCAAAGUGUUUACCACAAAAAUCCUCUUCAUCUAUCACCCAUGCCCAGCCUCUCUGCCGAUUCUAAUUCCAGCGACAUUGAAACCUCAAGCCCUUUGACACUUUUCAGAACACAUUAUCCCACUGUGACAUGUUGGAGUUCAAACCACACCAGUAAGGGGCUGUGUUACUGCCUACCCUGCAACUCUGGGUGCCUUAAAUGCCAUGCUGCUGUGGCUUACAGCCCUGACACCAACAGCCGGCCUACAAACAUGCAAGUCAUACCCUGGCUUCCUCCAUCCAAUUAUUGUUUUCAGAGUGACUCCAACCCCAUCCCACCACUCUCAAAUGCACCCCAAACUGUCUCCCUGCAGGGUCCAGCCCUCUCCUGGAACA